CGGCGUGCUUAACACAUGCAAGUCGAACGGACCUGAUCGCGGAAAUUUUCGGAUGGAAGCGUGAAAGGUUAGUGGCGGACGGGUGAGUAACGCGUGGGUAACCUGCCCUGUACAGGGGGACAACAGUUGGAAACGACUGCUAAUACCGCAUAAGCUCCUUUGAUGGCAUCAUCUAAGGAGGAAAGGUGGCCUCUGCACAUGCUACCGGUACAGGAUGGACCCGCGUCUGAUUAGAUAGUUGGUGAGGUAACGGCUCACCAAGUCGACGAUCAGUAGCCGGCCUGAGAGGGUGGCCGGCCACAUUGGGACUGAGACACGGCCCAGACUCCUACGGGAGGCAGCAGUGGGGAAUCUUCCGCAAUGGGCGAAAGCCUGACGGAGCAACGCCGCGUGAGUGAAGAAGGCCUUCGGGUCGUAAAGCUCUGUCUUAAGGGAAGAACAUCCGUGGUGAGAAUAUUGCCAUGGACUGACGGUACCUUAGGAGGAAGCUCCGGCUAACUACGUGCC
rnacentral:rRNA from 1 species